GCCCCCGUAGCUCAAUGGAUAGAGCAACGGCCUUCUAAGCCGCAGGUUGAGGGUUCGAGUCCUUCCGGGGGCG
rnacentral:tRNA from 2 species